rnacentral:rRNA from 1 species
UGCCCAGCUUGCUGGGUGGAUUAGUGGCGAACGGGUGAGUAACACGUGAGUAACCUGCCCUUAACUCUGGGAUAAGCCUGGGAAACUGGGUCUAAUACCGGAUAGGAGCGCCCACCGCAUGGUGGGUGUUGGAAAGAUUUAUCGGUUUUGGAUGGACUCGCGGCCUAUCAGCUUGUUGGUGAGGUAAUGGCUCACCAAGGCGACGACGGGUAGCCGGCCUGAGAGGGUGACCGGCCACACUGGGACUGAGACACGGCCCAGACUCCUACGGGAGGCAGCAGUGGGGAAUAUUGCACAAUGGGCGAAAGCCUGAUGCAGCGACGCCGCGUGAGGGAUGACGGCCUUCGGGUUGUAAACCUCUUUCAGUAGGGAAGAAGCGAAAGUGACGGUACCUGCAGAAGAAGCACCGGCUAACUACGUGCCAGCAGCCGCGGUAAUACGUAGGGUGCGAGCGUUAUCCGGAAUUAUUGGGCGUAAAGAGCUCGUAGGCGGUUUGUCGCGUCUGUCGUGAAAGUCCGGGGCUUAACCCCGGAUCUGCGGUGGGUACGGGCAGACUAGAGUGCAGUAGGGGAGACUGGAAUUCCUGGUGUAGCGGUGGAAUGCGCAGAUAU